AAUCUUCCACAAUGUUCGAAAGCCUGAUGGAGCAACGCCUCGAGAGUUAAUUAUGUUUUCUGAUCGUAAAACUCUGUUGUAAGAGAAGAACAAGUACAGUAGUAACUGGCUGUACCUUGACGGUACCUUAUUAGAAAGCCACGGCUAACUACGUGCCAGCAGCCGCGGUAAUUCGUAGGUGGCAAGCGUUGUCCGGAAUUAUUGGGCGUAAAGCGCGCGCAGGCGGUCCUUUAAGUCUGAUGUGAAAGCCCACGGCUCAACCGUGGAGGGUCAUUGGAAACUGGGGGACUUGAGUGCAGAAGAGGAAAGUGGAAUUCCAAGUGUAGCGGUGAAAUGCGUAGAGAUUUGGAGGAACACCAGUGGCGAAGGCGACUUUCUGGUCUGUAACUGACGCUGAGGCGCGAAAGCGUGGGGAGCAAACA
rnacentral:rRNA from 1 species